ncrna:Firmicutes bacterium CAG:137 Streptococcus sRNA SpF59 (ldcC RNA)
UGACCGCUUUCCUCCGGAAAGCUAAGGCUACACGGACGGCCGGGUCAAAUGCCGA